CUCUGGGGAUCAUUGGCAUGUGCAGCAUUCAAUAUCAUAUUGCUCUGAGAGCCAAUGUGUUUGAAACUAAUAUUUUGUACCACAACAGGACACGGAGGAAUGUGAGUAUGCCCUGUGCUGGAUGGACCCAUUUUGUGUAUUACAGAGCAUAUAUUCACUAUGAAAGUAGGUAACAGGGAAGAUCAGAAGUCUCAACCCUAGGACCCCUUAAAAUGUUUAGCUCCCCCUUGCAACCCUGCACAAAACCCUGAGCCCCAGGACGGUCCUGUUAACUCUCCUCCCCAUCCUCACAACCCCGAGCACCGGGAGAGUGCUGUAAAUUUCCCUCCUCCUUCUCCAACCCCUGUGAAUUCCCCACCCCCUGCAUGAAACCCUGAGCACUAUGACAGCGUUUACAAGGAAGCUGCGAGUGCUCCCCCUUUGAUAAAUUGUCUAAAAUUGAUAAAGGAAUUGGGACAACGUAAAAGAGAUUUGAAGAGUUUUCCCAUCCAAGGGGGCAACCACCGAUGGAGGGGCUUGGUGGAAUGUGUUUCCUCUCUGGGAAGUACCUCUUGGUCCCAGACAGGUGGGAUAUGUCAGUGCCCGGCUGACAAGCACUGAGGUGUGGAACUUGAAAAAAAGAAAUGAAGUCACUUACUGAGGACCCUGUCAGCUUAUCCGAACAAAUGGAUCAAUUUUUGGGUCCUAAUUAUUAUUCCUGGGCAGAAUUGAUGUCUAUCCUGAAUAUUAUGUUUAGUGGAGAAUGGGGAAUGAUCAGACGGGCAGCUAUGCAGGAAUGGGAAAGGAGGAACCCCCCUGAGCAAAGGAUAGUCCCAGUGGAGCAAAAAUUCCCCAGUGUGGAUCCCAAUUUGGAUAAUAAUAACCCUGUACACCAGAAUAAUAUGAAAGACCUGAGAGAACUAAUAAUACGAGCGAUUAAAGAGGCUGGCCCAAGGUCCCAAAAUUUUAUGAGGGCAUUUGAGGUCCAGCAAGGGAAGGAUGAGUCCCCAUCACUCUUUUUACAAUGAUUACAGGAUCAGAUGAGGAAAUAUUUGAGGAUGAACCCUGAGGAUCCUGUGCCCCAGAGAUUGUUAAAAGUGCAUUUUGUUACUAAGGCAUAGCCAGAUGUUCAAAAUAAUGUGAGAAACUGCUAGAAGAUUUAUUGAGGGAAGCACAGAAAGUGUAUGUGAACCGGGAGGAAGAGAAACAAACAGGAGGUUAAAAUCAUAGUUUGCACAAUGAACCAAGUUGUGAAGCAGAGAUGUGAACCCAUAGUGCAACAGAGAGAGAGAGUGGAAACAGGGCUGAUGGCAGGGGGAAUGGAGAAUGAGAGCAAGAAGUACACAGAACAAAGUAGGAGAGAGUCAGGGCAAGGAUUGUCUGGUAGCCUUCCAUCAGCUGAAUGUUAUAACUGUGGCAAGCUGGAGCAUUUCAAAAGGCAAUGCUUAGACUUGAAGAGGGAAGAAAGAGCGAUUCCAAUGAUUAAUUUUGAAACUCAGGAAUUAUGGGAUCAGGGGUUCUCUAAGUCCCACCUAGAGCCCUUGAUAAAUAUAAAGCUGGAACCUUUAUACUUAAGAAGAGCUAAACUUUUUGGUAGAUCCAGGAGCAGGCAAAACCUCUUUAAACCAUGUCCCUCCGGGGCUAGAAUUAACCUGUCAACUCGUACUUGUCACAGGAAUAGAAGGGGAAAGGUUUGGAGUCCCUACUUUUGACUCUACAAAGCUUAAAUUUGGGAAUAGAAAAGCCCAGGGACAGUUGCUGUAUGUUCCUGAGGCAGGUGGUAACCUAUUGGGCAGGGACAUGAUUAUACAAUUGGGCUUGCAAAUCAGAACUCGCUUAGAAUGUAUGGUUAUUUCUAUGAAUGUAUUAACAGAACAAGAUGAGGCUGGCAUAGAUCCCAUAGUGUGGGUCAGAGAUGGUAACAGGGGAGGUUUGAAAAUAACCCCUUUGAAAACUGCAUUGCAAGAAGCACAUGAGGUGGGAAGGCAAAAGCAAUAUCCCACCCCUAUUGAAGGGAAAAAGGGUCUUCAGCCAGUAAUUAAAACCUUGCUCAAAGAUGGGCUAUUGGAACCCUGCAUGUCUCCUUUUAAUACACCUAUCCUACCAGUACUGAAGUCUGAUGGAUCUUAUAGACUGGUGCAAGACCUGAAGAAAAUUAAUGAAAUGGUUAAAGUCCAGCACCCUCUAGUCCCUAACCAUUAUACAUUGAUGAGUAAAAUAUCACAGGAACACCAAUGGUUUAGUGUCAUAGACCUCAAAGAUGCUUUCUGGGCCUGCCCAGUAGACCCAGAAAGCUGGGACCUGUUUGCUUUUGAAUGGGAAGAUCCUCAGGGCGUAAAUAACAGCUUAGGUGGAAAGUUUUGUCCCAAGGGUUCACAGAGUCUCCUAAUUUAUUUGAGCAAGUGCUGGAGCAAGUUUUGGAUCAUUUUGAACCACCUCUAGGGGUUUUACUGUUGCAGUAAGAAAUGCACAAGAAGUAAAACAAGCCACAGACUCACUUUUAAACUUUUUGGGGAAACAGGGCCUAUGAGUCUCAAAGACAAAACUCCAAUAUGUGGAGAAAGAGGUUAAAUAUUUGGGACACCUUAUUUCAGAAGAAAAGUGGAGAAUUAACCCUGAAAUAAUCCAGGGAAUUGUAGAUCUGCCACUUCCCCAGACAAAAAAAAAAAAAAAAAAGAAACAUUUUCUAGGUCUAAUUGGAUAUUGCUGCCUGUGGAUUAAAGCCUAUGCACUAAGGGCAAAAGAGUUAUACCUUAAAUUACUAGAAGAGGAACCCAACGUCCUUAUCUGGACUGAUAAUGAAGCAAAACUAAUCAAAGAAUCAAAGCAGAGUCUGAUAACUGCCCCUGUCUUGGCUCUGCCAUCCUUAGAUAAACCCUUUUGUCUGUUUGCCAUGGUGGAUGAAGGAGCAGCUUUGGGAGUUCUCAUCCAAGAAGCGGGGGGGGGGAGGGGAAGCAGCAGCCGGUGGCUUAUCAUAGAAUCAUAGAAUCAUAGAAUCCUAGGGGUUGUAAGGGACCUCGAAAGAUCAUCUAGUCCAACCCCCCUGCCAGAGCAGGGUCACCCAGAGCACAUCACACAGGAACGUGUCCAGGCGGGUUUUGAAUGUCUCCGGUGAAGAAGACUCCACAACCUCUCUGGGCAGCCUGUUCCAGGCUUAUCUGUCUAAACUUUUAGAUCCAGUAUCCUGGGGUUGGCCAGAGUGUGUGCAGGCAAUGGCAGCCAUUGCCCUUUUGGUAAGACAAAGCAGGAAAAUAACUUUUGGGGGAAAAUUGACUGUAAGCACACCACAUCAAGUAAAAACAAUUCUGACUCAGAAGGCUGGAAGGUGGCUGACAGACUCUAGGAUCCUGAAAUAUGAGGCUACAUUGAUUGAAAAGGAUGAUUUGACUUUUAAUAGAGUUAUGUCUGAACCCUGCCUUCUUUCUAUGGAAGGGUGAUAAUGAGGACUCAUUUGGAACACAGGUGGUUGAACAUAAUAGAAUACCAAACCAAGGUCUAACCAGAUCUUAGAGAUACACCUUUGCAUGCAGGAUUUCAGCUGUUCAUAGAUGGAUCCUCAAGAGUAGUUCAGGGAAAGCAGCACAAUGGGCAUACUAUUGUAGAAGGGGUAAGCAGUGAAGUUAAAGAAAUGGGGCAAUUACCCAAUGGAUGGUCAGCCCAAACAUGUGAAUUAUAUGCUCUCAACCAAGCAUUACUGAUGCUAGAAGGCAAGGAAGGAACGAUUUACACUGAUUCCAGAUAUGCCUUUGGAGUAGUGCAUACCUUUGGGAAAAUCUGGGAGGAGCAGGGGCUGAUAAACAGUAAAGGGAAGGAGUUGGUCCAUGGAGAACUUAUUCAGCCUGUGCUGCAGAAUCUGAUGCUGCAGGCAGAGGUAGCUGUAGUACAUGUUAAUGGGCACCAGAAAGGAAACUCCCCACAAACUAUAGGGAACAGGCUGGCAGAUGAAACUGGUCGAGCAGUCCUACAGUCCGAAGUAAUAACAAUUAAUUAUCUCACUCCUGAGGUGCCAGCUCCAAUGACAAACCCAAUUUUUGAAGAAAAAGGAAAAGAAGCUAUCAAGGAACUGGGGGCAACAGAACAAAAUGGAAAAUGGUUAUUCGCAUAUGGUAGAGAAAAGUUAAACAAACAAACCAUUAGCUGUUCAGCAUCAGGAAGUCACUGGGGAACAGCUAAGCAAAUUUGUGAAGGAUGUAUGGUUUGUAGGAAAAGCAACAAAAAGGUGCUAAAAAGGCAACCUACAGGGGGGCAAGUUCCAGGUUUAAGACCCUUUCAGAAUAUUCAGAUUGACUUUACUGAAUUACCAAAGAUGGGCCAAGCUAAAUAUUUGCUGGUUCUGAUAGAUCAUCUAACAGGGUGGGUAAAAGUAUUUCCCCUCAACACAGCCACUGCAGCAACAGAGUAAUCCUGGAGCAGAUCAUUCCCAGAUAUGGGAGAGUGGAAAAUAGAGAUUCAGAUCAGGGAAGACAUUUACCUCCAAGGUGUUACAGGACUUAAUGAACAGCCUGGGGAUUUCUUGGGAUUUCCAUACCCCUUGGCAUCCUCCCUUGUCUGGAAAGGUAGAAAGAAUAAAUCAGACCUUGAAAAAGCAGUUGUCAAAGUUAGUGCUGGAAACUAAAUUGGUUUGGACUAAGUGUCUACCUAUUGCUCUGCUAAGAAUCCAGACUGCUCCUUGCAAAGACACAGGAGUGUCACCUUACGAGAUACUGUCCGGAUUUAGGCAAAAGUGGUGGACUUCCGCAAUUUGAAACUAAAGAUAUUUUUCUGAAGAACCAUAUACUCGGGUUGUUGUCUUCUUUGUCCUCCCUCAGGCAUCAAGGGCUCCUGGCACAGACUCCACAUUUGGAAUUUGCAGUGCACCCAUUUCAGUCUGGAGACUGGGUCCUGGUUAAAUCUUGGAAGUAAGCCAAACUCCAACUGACCUGGGAGGGACCAUCUCAAGUUCUAUUGACUACAGAGACUGCUGUCCAGACAGCUGAGAAAGGGUGGACUCAUUAUACCCAACUCAAAGGACCAGUAGAGCCUCCACUCGAGAAAGAACAGUGGUGCGCCUACCCAGCUGAAAACCCCUUGUGCUUUAAACUGAAGAAGCAAUAAGUAUGAAACAAUGAUAACUGAAGUAGUGGUUGUAGCAAUCUUGAUUAUUAUAGUUAUUGGGUUAAUAUUUAUCUGUUGUAUAGGAAAACAUAGGGGCAUAAAAGGAGAAGAGAACCAUUUAGUGAAAAUGAGGGGGGAUGAUCAUUAAUAGUGAGUUGUUGUCUGUGGAACAUCCAAGGGUUUCAAUACAUGAGGGCUGCAGUAUAUCAGGGCUAUCCAGUCAAAUUGUGGAUGAAUAUAACCAAAAAGAGCACUCACCAAGCCACACAGUUUGAUGCAUGCCAGAUACUGGAUUGUGGACCCUUAGAAUCCCAGAGGCAGUUGAGACACGUGGAUAAAUAGUUGUAUCCUGAAAGUGGUUCAGCAGUACACAAGCCAUGUGGGCAAUGGUCUAGUGUAUGGUUCAUGACUGCUGCUCAGGGAUGGACAGCCCCUUGUAGUCAGGGGAAGCCUCUGAAAAACCAACUCGAUGUUUAAGGGAACAUCUGAUCCCAACUGUCAGCAUCUACAAUGUAAUCCUCUAAUCAUCAGUCUUACAAAAAUUGACAAAGAAGUUAAUCGCACAUAUGGGUUUGGAGCUGAAAUAACUGGUACUGAUCCAUUGGGAAGGUUUAGAACAGUGUGGAAGUUAAAGCCUGAAUUGGAAAAGGCACGUCCUACUAUUUUUCCUAAAAUAAAAACCUGGAUUCCUCCAAAUGAUCCAAAAGUAGUGACCUUAACAGAGGUCAAGGAUAUAAAGCAAACCUUUGAAAUUGAAACAAAUGCCUGGGUAGAAUGGGUCAAAUACACAGUACAAGGUCUAAACCAAAGUAACUGUUAUGCUUGUGCCUCAGGGAGCCCUACUGCACAAAUAGUUCCUUUCCCAUCAGGUUGGAGCAAGGACCCACAAGGAAUGAAAUGCAUUAUUGCUUUAUACCAAGACAGACUGCAUGGGGUGAUGAGGCUUGUAAGUCUCUCGCUGCUUUUUCCUGCUGUGCAGAUCAAAGUCCUCAGAGUGCCUCCUGCUUUCUUUGUAGUGCCUGGUAACCAUACAGCUUGUCUCUCACGACAGGAUGUGAAUGCUGCCAGGUAUCUCAGAGAUUUGGAGAUGUGUAUUGAGUCACUGAAUGUGACUGGUGACAAAGCAGGAAACUACUCAGCUAUGAGUGUCCCCGGGGCAGAUCUGUGGUGGUACUGUGGAGGAAAAAUUCUAAGGUCUGUGCUCCUUUACAAUUGGAAAGGUACCAUUCCUUCACCCUGGCUUACAUAAAAGAGCCACAUGCUGGGAGGGAAAGAACAAAAAGGGUAUCUUUGAUGAUAGGAUUUACAUCGAUGCAACUGGGGUCCCCAGGGGAGUUCCUGAUGAGCACAAAGCUAGAAACCAGAUAUCUGCAGGAUUUGAACCCUUCCUGUUCUGGUGGGUAGCAAUCAACACAAAUAUGGACUGGACAAAUUAUAUUUAUUAUAACCAACAAAGUUUCAUCAAUUAUAUGAGAGAUGCAGUCAAAGGAAUUGCAGAACAACCGGAUGCCAGCAAAAGGAUGGCAUGAGAAAACAGAAUAGCCUUAGACAUGAUACUGGCUGAAAAGGGAGGUGUAUGUGUAAUGCUAGGGAAUAGGUGCUGUACUUUUAUCCCAAAUAAUACUGCCCCUGAUGGUACAAUAACUAAAGCACUGCAAGGACUCACUGCUUUAGCAGAUGAAUUAGCAGAAAAUUCAGGAAUAGAUAGUUCGCUCACUGGAUGAUUAGAAUCCUGGCUUGGGAAAUGAAAGGGGAUGGUAUUUUCCAUCCUUACAUCCUUAAAAAGAUAGUGUCAGGGGUUCUGAUUGCAAUAGGAAGCUGCAUAAUCCCAUGUGUACAAGAACUUGUUCAACAUCUCAUUGAAACUGCUUUCUCAAAGGAAAUGCCCUUAAAUCCACCUCUGUACACUAAUACAAUGCUACUAUUAGAAGAACAAGAUGAUCUCCUUUUAUAACCUGAUGACCCGACUAUUGGACGAGGGAAAGGCUGUGGAUAUUGUCUGUCUGGACCUCCAAAAAGCAUUUGACACGGUUCCCCAUAGAACUCUCAUAAAAAAAAUGGCUGCUGAUGGCCUGGAUGAUCACACGAUCUGUUGGAUCAAGCACUGGCUGGAUAGUUGGGCCCAAAGAGGUGGUCAAUGGAGUCAAGUCCAGCUGGGGCCAGUCACAAAUGGUGUUCCUCAGGGCUCAGUGUUGGGACCGUUUCUGUUUAACAUCUUUAUUGAUGAUCUCAAUAAGGACAUAGAGUGUAUUAUCAAUAAGUCUGCAGAUGACACCAAGCUAGGUGGGAGUGUUGAUCUGCAUGAGGAUAGGGAGGCUCUACAGAGAGACUUGGAUAGAUUGGAUCGUUGGGCUCAUGUUAAUGGUCUGGGCUUCAACAAGGUCAAGUGCCGGGUCCUGCCCUUGGGCCACAACAACCCCAGGCAACACUACAGGCUGGGGAAGUGUGGCUGGACAGUGUCUGGCAGAAAAGGACCUGAGGGUUCUAAUUGACAAGCAGCUGAGUAGGAGCCAGCAGUGUGCCCAGGUGGGCAAGAAAGCCAAUGUCAUCCUGGCUUGUAUUAGAAACAGUGUGACCAGCAGAAGGAGAGAGGUGAUUGUCCCCCUCUACUCAGCACUGGUGAAGCCACACCUGGAGUAUUGUGUCCAGUUUUGGGCACCUCAAUUCAAGAGAGAUAUUGAGGUGUUGGAGUGAGUACAGGGGAGGGCAAUGAAGCUGGUGAAGGGCCUAGAGAAUCAAUCUUAUGAAGAACGCUUGAAGGAGCUGGAAAUGUUUAGCCUGAGGAAGAGGAGGCUGAGGGGAGUCCUCAUCUGUCUCUGCAACUACCUGAAAGGACAUUGUAGAGAGGUUGGUCUCUUCUCACAGGUAAUUAGUGACAGAACAAGAGGGAAUGGCUUCAAGCUGCAACAGGGAGGGUUUAGACUGGACGUUAGGAAAUUUUUUUUCACAGAAAGAGUGGUUAGACAGUGGAACAGGCUGCCCAGAGAGGUUGAGUCACCAUCCCUGGAUGUGUAUAAGAGUUGUUUGGAUGUGGUGUUGGUGGAUAUGGUUUAGGGAAGAGCUUUGUUGAGUAGGGAUGAUGGUUGGACCCCAAGUGUCUUUUCCAACCUGAAUAGUUCUAUGAUUCUAUUAUUCUAUGAAAAUAAUCCAGACUGCCUCUCCCCUGAAGAGAGAUGUGAAAUCAUGUUGUCUGAACUAGAGGCAUCUUACAGAACAACAACUUGAGAUAAUGCGAAAAGCAACAGUAGUGUAAAUAAAAGAAGGGGGAAUUGUUAUAAAUGUAGUGUUGUUUUUGCACCAUAAUAGUUUGGUUCUGCCAUAAUGAGAAAAAUUUAAUUAAACUUUAUGGUGACUGAAAAGUAAGAUAUCUGGGCACUCCAGGGACACCUGUGGUGAUUGUGGUCCAAGAAACCGAGGGACUUAAUUGAGCUCCAUCCAUAGUAACAGGGGGAGGUGAGGUAUCUGAACCUUCCCAGGUACAUGGAGCAGGAUUUAUGGCCCAAGAUAAGACAGAACAAAGUCACUUAAGGCACCAGAUGGUAUAGAUAGUUUUGAUGGCUGGGAAGACGAGCCAAGAAGGCAAGAAAGGUCAGAAUUAAACCUUAAAAGGUAAAAAGUAAACCCCUAGAAUGGAAUGUGUAAACAGGGGUAGGAAACUUACAGGAUAAUUAGAAGCAUCAGAUGGGCUGUAAACCCUGGAGUACCCAGCCAGUGGGUAAACAGGGGAGGGAACUUUGUGUUGGGAAGCGGGAAUAUAAACAGUUAUUCACCUUACUAUGGGUGUGCUUACUUGUUUAGGUCACCCAUUCUUGCAAGAGUGUAAAUAAACUGCUUCGCUGAA